rnacentral:rRNA from 1 species
UAUCAAUAAGCGGAGGAAAAGAAACCAACAGGGAUUGCCUCAGUAACGGCGAGUGAAGCGGCAAAAGCUCAAAUUUGGAAUCUGGCACUUUCAGUGUCCGAGUUGUAAUUUGAAGACCGGUGCUUUGGGGCUCGGAGGUGUGGAACAGGACGUCGCAGAGGGUGAGAAUCCCGUGCGAUACCUCUUUGAGUCUCGUGUAAAGCCCAGUCGACGAGUCGAGUUGUUUGGGAAUGCAGCUCUAAGUGGGUGGUAAAUUCCAUCUAAAGCUAAAUACUGGCGAGAGACCGAUAGCGAACAAGUACAGUGAUGGAAAGAUGAAAAGAACUUUGAAAAGAGAGUGAAAAAGUACGUGAAAUUGUUGAAAGGGAAGGGCUUGAGAUCAGACUUGGGAUUGCUCUUCGGGGUGGUUUCCAGGCCAGCAUCAGGUGGAGGGGCGAGAUAAGACGGCAGGAACGUGGCUUUGCUUCGGUGAAGUGUUAUAGCCUGCUGAGAUAUCGCCAUCUUCGCCUGAGGACUGCGCUUCGGCAAGGAUGCUGGCAUAAUGAUCUUAAGCCGCCCGUCUUGAACCACGGACCAAAAUUUACU